GAAAAUAAGCUCAUAACAUUAAAACUGGUGGCUCGACUUUAAAUCAAAUAUUCUAUUACUAGACCCAAAUCUACUCGACCCAAAUCAAACUAGAUUCCACUACUACAAAAAUAGGUAUACGUAACGCGGAAUAGAGAACGGUCAAGUUAGAUAAGCGUUUUGCACAUUUAUAUAGAACGCCUUUCUUACCCAACUGUUGUGAGAGGGGAAGAAUAUAAAAUGGUUCACUACCUUACUGUUUUAUAUACUUGUAUCCAAAAAAAAUAAAAAAUUUGAAUAAACAAUUUAAUAUAUUUUGCUAAAUGUAAAACGGUUACAACGAUAACCGUAUUAUAUUCUACAUCUAGAUACAGAGUAUUAAGUAGAAGAUACAUCCCGUCAAAAAAAAUAAAGUAGAAGAUAUAUACAUUAAAAACCUAGCUUUACAAUUACAUCUCAUCUUUCCCUCUAGCCGCCUCCUCCAGUUUGAUCCCCUCUAUGGAAUUUUUCAUUCUUCUUGAAGCAAAUGUGCGUGCACUGAUCCCUUCUCACUCUUCCUUUAACCUUCUUUGGAAAAAUCAACAUCAUUCAUACUCGUCCGCGUGUAUUAUUAACAUCAGGAAAGAAGUCAAAUAUGGGCGAGAAGUGUUAUUUUUUUCUUCUUUUCCUUGUAAUUUUGGUAUUUUGUACUGAAAGUUGUAAAUGUAAGAUAGAUAUAUUUCGUAAAAUAUCAAUGACUUAAUUCAUUUUUGGGAAAUGUAACGCAAUGUUAAUAAUAACAGUUUGUAUUUGGAAAUUAGAGAAUUUUUUUUCUUUAA